CCCGGGGUUGGUCAGAAGAGCUGGAUGAGCAUGGACACACUCUGUAUGUCAGUGAUUAUACUAAUGAGAAGUGGAUAAAGCACGUGGAUGAACAGGGCAGACCAUACUACUACAGUGCUGAUGGCUCCAGGUCAGAGUGGGAGCUGCCCAAGUACCAACACUCCCCCCCUCUACCUGGUGGAGGAGACCGGACCCCUAAGAGCCACAGUCUGGAUAGGAAACAUGUGGAGCCCAUCGUCCUGACCAAGUGGGCAAACAGCAGCAACGUGCUGGACGCCAACGACAAGGUGAGACAGACGCCCUGUCACG